AACCUAUUUAAUUUACUUCAUCCAGACUUCUUUCGUCAAGACCUUCAGCUUGGCAGAGAGCUUCAGCCUCACGUCUUUCAGGAAGACUCGGCUCAGGUCCUCUCCGGCCUCCCGGGCCAUGCGGCCCACCAUCUGGCCCCCGGCCCCGAUCACCAUCCGCUGUGGAGAGAAGAAGCACAGCCGUGUCAGGGAGCGGAACAUAUUGUGUAUCUGUCAGUAAUGCAGGUUUGAAAGACACAAAUAAAAAGGACCCUGUGGAAAAUAGUUUAAUGAUAUCUGAAGAUUUACCAAAAAAAGGACAUUAGGUUCAAACAAAUACAGCUGUUCUUUUUUAUGCAGUUUCUAUAAAAUAGCCAUAAUCCGUUUCACCCUGAAGCAUUCUAAAAGGCUGCAGUGACCUCCAACAUAUAUAUUUAAUAUUCAUUUAAAGAAAUCUUGACAAGAUAGCCUUUUCUCAGGAGAUAUUCAUCAAAUAAAUGAUAUUUCGAUCC